rnacentral:rRNA from 1 species
GACGAACGCUGGCGGCGUGCUUAACACAUGCAAGUCGAACGGAAAGGCCCCUUUGGGGGUACUCUAGUGGCGAACGGGUGAGUAACACGUGAGUAACCUGCCCUUGACUUCGGGAUAACUUCAGGAAACUGGGGCUAAUACCGGAUAGGAAUCCUUGCUGCAUGGUGGGGGUUGGAAAGCUUCGGCGGUUUUGGAUGGACUUGCGGGUUAUCAGCUUGUUGGUGGGGUAGUGUCUUACCAAGGCUUUGACGGGUAGCCGGCAUGAGAGGGCGAGCGGCCACAUUGGGACUGAGAUAAGGCCCAGACUCCUAAGGGAGGCAGCAGUGGGGAAUAUUGCACAAUGGGCGGAAGCCUGAUGCAGAAACGCCGCGUGCGGGAUGACGGCCUUAGGGUUGUAAACCGCUUUCAGAAGGGGCGAAGCUUGUGGUGACGGUACCUGAAGAAGAAGCCCCGGCUAACUACGUG